GAGUUUGAUCGUGGCUCAGAUUGAACGCUGGCGGCAUGCCUUACACAUGCAAGUCGAACGGCAGCACGGGAGCUUGCUCCUGGUGGCGAGUGGCGAACGGGUGAGUAAUGGCAUCGGAACGUAUCCUGGAGUGGGGGAUAACGUAGCGAAGUUACGCUAAUACCGCAUAUUCUGUGAGCAGGGAAAGCGGGGGACCUUCGGGCCUCGCGCUCUUGGAGCGGCCGAUGUCGGAUUAGCUAGUUGGUGAGGUAAAGGCUCACCAAGGCGACGAUCCGUAGCAGGUCUGAGAGGAUGAUCUGCCACACUGGAACUGAGACAC
rnacentral:rRNA from 1 species